AAUAAUAACAAACAGCAAAUAACAAUAAACAACAAAUAAUAAAAUAAUAAAAUAAUAAAAAUAGUAGUAGUAAUAAUAAUAAUAAUAAUAAUAAUAAUAAUCGAAUGAAAUCCCAGUGUUCCGGGGUGGGCAGGGGGCAGCCUGUCCCCAUCACCUCUCUGUGAGAGUUUAAUGCCUCUGUUAUCUUCGGCACUUCUAGAACCAAACUAUCCACAAAAGUGUGGUUGGGGGGUUUUUUUGUUUGUUUUUGGGUUUUGGGAGUUUUGGGGGGUUUUGGGGGGCUUUGGGGGUUUUUGAGGGGUUUUUUUUGUCUUAUGGUUGUUGUUGGUUCCUCUGGGUUUUUGGGGGAGUUGUUUGGUUGGUUUGUUUGGGGUUUUGGUUGGUUGUUUUUGGGGUUUGUUUUUUUUGUUUGGUCGGUUUGUUUUUAUUAAAGCGAACUGUCUCAGCUCCUUCUUUUCUCUCAAACUGCGGGGGCCUCCUUUGUCUCCCCUUGGGAAUCCUGCCCCGCAUGCCCCGAGCCUCACUCCCCGACAGAAACGACCCCCGCGAGGGUCAGAGCGCAGCUGAUCCCCCCUUUUUUCCUCCGCAGGCGCCGGCCGGGGACGGCUGGGAAGGUUUUAUCGACUCCUGGAGCAUCCCCGCGCCCGCCCGGCUCCGGACACCCCCGCAGCCGCCCCAGCAAAGGCUCCGGGGCCGGAGCUGAGGAGCGCAGCUGCCCCCGGGCCCCUCCGGGAUCGAUGCGGGAGGAUCCUGAGCAGAAAUCCAUCGGUGGGAGCCGCCUCUCGCUAAUGGCCAGGACGGAGCCGCCAGAGCCGCGAGGGGAAGGCGAGCCCGGCUUUCAGCGGGGAAAUGUUCCCGUCAGGAGCAGAGAUGGGAGCUCCGGCAGCAGAGACUGGGUUUGUCUCGUCUGUGGUGGGAUCCUUGCAGCGCUCAGACACGGGCAGGUGUAAAAUGACAUUAAUGAUAUCGAUGACAUCAAUAAAUGACAUUAAUGCAGGGGAGGAGCGGGGCAGGAGGGCUCGGAGGCAGCCGGUGCUGCUGCCCUGCCUGGCGGCAGCUCGGGUGUGGUCACACCCGUCGGGAAAGGGGAAUUGGGGGUGUUGUGAGGCAUCCUGCAGCCCCUCUGGCUUGGUGUCAGUCCCUGUUCAUCCUGCAGGGGCUGGUGGCACUGGUCAGUCCUACAGGGUCUGGUGACACUGCCCAUCCGAGAGGGUCUGGUGACACUCAGAUCUCAGGAUCUGGUGGCUCUGCCCUUCCUACAGGAUCUCCUGGCUCUGUUCAGUCCUGCAGGAUCUCCUGGCUCUGCUCAGUCCUGCAGGAUCUCCUGGCUCUGCUCAGCCCUGCAGGAUCUGGUGGCCCUGCUCCCCUCAGGAUGCUGCUGUUGUCCCACACCUCAUCUCUGGGAGAGCAUGUCCCCACCAGCCCCAUGUUUUAGGCUCAUGACUGGGGUGAGAAGGGCCGCAGGAGGUGCAGGGGAGGAUGUGAAGGGUGCUCACAGCUCCCUCACCUCCUGUGCUCCCUGUGGGAACGGGGAUGGCUCAGCCUCAGAGACAUAAAACUCUGGUUUAGGGGGCUGAGGGUUCGUUCUCUGCUCUGCUCCAUGAGUUCUUGGGGAUAAACCCAAAAUCUCUGCCUGCACAACACAGGAAUCCUCUCCUCAGGAGGAGAAAUGAGAGCGAUGGAGCCCAGGUGCCCUGGAAGGAGCUGGGUCCUGCUGGGGUUUGUAAUGAGUUCCCUCCACACGGGGUUACAGCAGAUCCCAUUCCGGUAGGGAUUCCACUUGGGAUUUUACACCCUGUUUCAGGCCCAAACUCCCCUCCUGGCUCAGGGUUUUUGUGUUUUCUUGAGCAGCUUUGCCCUGCCAUAAAUCAGAGAUGUUUGGGUCACCCUCGGCCACUGACCAUGAGGAGCUCAGACAGAGCUGGCAGUGCCCAGGGCAGAUCCAUGCCCAGUUUGGGGCGAGGGUAAAACAGGGGCAGGAUGGAAUUCAAGCCAGCAGAUCAUUCCUGGGUCUCUUUUCCAUCCCGGACCAGCUGCAUCCCUUUUCCACCGGGUGCUGAGGCGUUUUUUCCUUUCUUCAGAAUUUUUUGUGUUUUUCCAUCAGACAAAAUUCCUCCUGGCUGCGCUGCUGGGGGCUUGUCUUUCCCUGAGGAAUCGGUAACCAGAGGGGCUGAGGGAGCUGCCCUUCCACCCCCCCCCUCCUGGGUCCCCCCUUGCCGGUGCUCCCUGGAUGGAACAGGCUCCGUGUCCCGAAGGAGAGGACCGGGGCUGCUGCCAUUGUCACAGCAGCUGUGCAGGAGGGACAGGGCAGCGCUUCCAGGCUUCCUCCGGGCUCGGGGACAGCCCAGGGGUGGGGAAAAUGCAAUUGUAGGAACUUUCUGAUUGACUGCGGGGCUUUGUGUGCAGAGCUCAGAGCAGCGGCCUGCCACGGAGCGCGGGCUGGCAGCAGAUGGGCACAGCAGGUAAAGCUCUCAGAUGAAUGCAGGGGACGGAGCAGGGCCCGGCCCCAGGGAGCGGCUGUCACCUCGGAGUCCCCCACGUGUUUCGGGUCAGACUCCCUGAAAGCAGAAAUCUGUGGAUUUCUUUCUUGGCUGGAGGGAGCAGGUGAUGGGCUGGGGCAUGAAGUGAAGAUUUAAAGCAGAAAAGUCAUUUAGGAGCAACUCCGAUGCCUUGUUUGAAACAGGUUUUGUGAUAAUAAAACAAAAAACACGUUUUGAACAGGAAAUCCAGAAUGUUGCACCGUGAAUGCUUUAUUAAUUUAUUUUGAUCUUUGUGGGCUUUCAGAGAGGUCCCUGGGAGUGAGAAAAACUGGGAAACACGGAGAUGAUGCGUGACAAGAAAACAUCCCAUAAAAAUCCGGGUGGAUUUUUUUUUAAACAUGUUUUUAAGGAUGAAACAUGAGAUUUAG
rnacentral:lncRNA from 1 species